rnacentral:rRNA from 1 species
CCUACGGGAGGCAGCAGUGGGGGAUAUUGCACAAUGGGGGAAACCCUGAUGCAGCGACGCCGCGUGUGGGAAGACGGUCCUCUGGAUUGUAAACCACUGUCCCCAGGGACGAAGAUGACGGUACCUGGGGAGGAAGCUCCGGCUAACUACGUGCCAGCAGCCGCGGUAAUACGCGGGGAGCGAGCGUGGUCCGGAAUUACGGGGUGUAAGGGGAGCGUAGGCGGGGCUGCAAGUUGGGGGUCAAAUCUACCGGCUCAACCGGUAGCCGCACUCAAAACUGCAGUUCUUGAGUGAAGUAGAGGCAGGCGGAAUUCCUAGUGUAGCGGUGAAAUGCGUAGAUAUUAGGAGGAACACCAGUGGCGAAGGCGGCCUGCUGGGCUUUGACUGACGCUGAGGCUCGAAAGUGUGGGGAGCAAACAGGAUUAGAUACCCCAGUAGUC